rnacentral:rRNA from 1 species
GUGGGGAAUAUUGGACAAUGGGCGCAAGCCUGAUCCAGCCAUGCCGCGUGAGUGAUGAAGGCCUUAGGGUUGUAAAGCUCUUUCAGUGGGGACGAUAAUGACGGUACCCACAGAAGAAGCCCCGGCUAUCUUCGUGCCAGCAGCCGCGGUAAUACGAAGGGGGCUAGCGUUGUUCGGAUUUACUGGGCGUAAAGCGCACGUAGGCGGAUCGUUAAGUCGGGGGUGAAAUCCUGGAGCUCAACUCCAGAACUGCCUUCGAUACUGGCGAUCUUGAGUCCGGAAGAGGUGAGUGGAACUCCUAGUGUAGAGGUGGAAUUCGUAGAUAUUAGGAAGAACACCAGUGGCGAAGGCGGCUCACUGGUCCGGUACUGACGCUGAGGUGCGAAAGCGUGGGGAGCAAACAGGAUUAGAAACCCGGGUAGUCC